UACGUAGGGAGCGAGCGUUGUUCGGAAUUAUUGGGCGUAAAGCGUACGUAGGUGGAUUUUUAAGACAAGGGUGAAAUCCCGGAGCUCAACCUCGGAAGUGCCUUUGAUACUGUCUUUCUUGAGUCCGGGAGAGGUGAGUGGAAGUCCUUGUGUAGCGGUAAAAUGCGUAGAUAUUAGGAAGAACACCAGUGGCGAAGGCGGCUCACUGGUCCGGUACUGACGCUCAUGUGCGAAAGCGUGGGGAGCAAACAGG
rnacentral:rRNA from 1 species